UCUUCAACUUCCAAAGCCUUCUGACAGUUGUGCUGUUGUUGAUAUGUACAUGUGCUUAUAUUAGAUCAAUAGCCCCAAGCCUUCUAGAUAAGAAUAAGGAAGGAUUGUUGGGAAUCUUCUGGAAAUGUGCAAGAAUAGGU
rnacentral:lncRNA from 1 species